UACGAAGGGUGCAAGCGUUACUCGGAAUUACUGGGCGUAAAGCGUGCGUAGGUGGUGAGUUAAGUCUGUCGUGAAAGCCCCGGGCUCAACCUGGGAAUGGCGAUGGAUACUGGCUCGCUAGAGUGCGGUAGAGGAGAGUGGAAUUCCCGGUGUAGCAGUGAAAUGCGCAGAUAUCAGGAGGAACACCGAUGGCGAAGGCAGGUCUCUGGGCAUUAACUGACGCUGAGGAGCGAAAGCAUGGGGAGCGAACAGGA
rnacentral:rRNA from 1 species